rnacentral:rRNA from 1 species
UACGGAGGGUGCAAGCGUUAUCCGGAUUCACUGGGUUUAAAGGGUGCGUAGGAGGGCAGGUAAGUCAGUGGUGAAAUCUCCAAGCUUAACUUGGAACUGCCGUUGAUACUAUCUGUCUUGAAUACCGUGGAGGUGAGCGGAAUACGUCAUGUAGCGGUGAAAUGCUUAGAUAUGACAUAGAACACCGAUUGCGAAGGCAGCUCACAAAAACUAUAAACUGACGCUGAGGCACGAAGCGUGGGUAUCAAAACAGGA